AGGCAGCCAAACCAGGCGUUUUUAUUGAUCCUCCAGUGCUUCAAUCUACUGGCACAACUGACACCGCCCACGGUAUUCUCUCCGCACCACCCGAAGCCCAUGCACGCUCACCUACCACUCCCCUGGCCCCCACCCCAUCCCUGCGCGCCCGCGGACAACCCGGUGCACACUCACGCGCUCCAUCGCCUCUAGUAUCCAGCUCAGAGGCGCCCCGGGAGGGUGGCGGCACCCAGUCCCCAUCAGCUGGCACCACGGGGACCAACAGUCAGAAGGACGCGGUUCUGCACGCGCCAUUCUCACCCGUCACGCGUCCCAGCGGCGCCUCUUACAAGCGACCCGCCCGCCGCCCUUGGGAAGUCCUAGAUCCUGCUCCACCGAGCCGCAGUCGCAGAGGUCAGGAAGCGUCCGAAGUUCUGGGGGCCGCCACCAACUUCGCGCUGCAGCCAGUUGCGGAAAGGGCGACCCCGGCACGUCUGCCUAUGCACACCAGCCGGCAACUGGCAGAGCGCGCGGCGAGGCCCGCGGACGCCACGGGCCGCCCAGGCAGCCGCUAGAGCGCGUCCCGAGCGCGCCGCAUUCUAAGAGGUUGCCGCCUCAACGGCUCUUCAGCGGGAACCGGCACUGCAGAGGACCACCGCGGACAGUACGCGCCCUGCGGGCGGGACCUGCACCUGCGUCUGGGGCCUUGGGGCGGUAGGCAAUGCAGUGAGCCAUUCAGCCAAAGAGAGCACAGGACGCAGCACCUAUUUCAAGAAUAUUAAAGCUCUCAUAGAGAGACGAUGUAUACAAUAGAAGCAGAUGGAGAUACAAGGAAGCCAAAGGAUCAUGAAACGUUGAAAGAGAACAGCGGGAGUUGACAGGACUACACAAUGGGCAGGAGGAGUGAACAUCCUGUGGAUUUCGCUGAAGAGCUUCCAAAUUGGAGCCAUAGAUUCCUGAAACUACAAGUGGAAGAGGCUUUGUUCUGAUUGCACUGUCUUGUGGAAGGCUUCUGAUUGCACAGAACCCAGGGAGGGCCUGACAACACUGAAGUCAGAGCAAGAAGAUGCUGUCCACACAGAAUGGACUCCGAGGUGGAGGGAGAGCAGUGCACCCACUCUCUGCAGGUUCAGGAUGUGCAGCAGCAUCAUCUUCUCUUCCUCACCGUCAACAUCUGGAUAACAGGGCACAGCGAGGACUGGAUACUUCAAGAAUGUUUUGUCUGGGAUGAGUGUGUGCCCCACCAUUGUGGGGAGAUGCAGGGAGAAUAAGAACCUUCUGCAACAGAAUCCAGUUUACAGGAAGAAGAAGAAGAAGAAGAACGGAUACUAAGAGAUUAGGAUGGAGGCCAGUGAAUGGUCCUUCACUGGCAGCACAAUAACCAUGGGGGCAUUGGGAAAAGAGGCUCUUCUUUGCUGCCUAUGAGGGUUCCUAGAUGCAGUCUGAGGUGUGGGUUGUGGGACAACAGAAUGGUACAGAUUGAAGUUGGGUGGGAGAUGGAUCGGGGGGUGCCUGUCCCUUAGCUGGCUGCUUACAGCCAUGGACUUGAGGUAUGGGCAGGAGCUGUUACUGGAAGCAGAAGAUGGAAAAAUGACCACCAUAGAAGGGGGGGUAGUGUCCAUGGCCGUGUCCUCAGGCAGCACAGUGGGAUGCUGGGAAAGAUGAGCUGAUGACUUUGCUAUGGUGGUUGGGGGGACACUCCUAGCAGAGUCCUGGCCCUGGGUAUUGGGGCUUUGAGUGGAAGGGACUAGAGCAGGUCUUGGAAGGAAUGAGGAGAAGGAGGAAGAGGAGCAGUAGGAGGAGCAGCCAAAGGAGAGGGAUUAUUAGGAGGAGGAAGAGGAGGAGGGAGGAGGAGGAGGGAAUGGAGAAGGGGAAAGAAAAGAAAAUGAAGGGGGAAGAGAAGGAGGAGGAAGAGAAAGAGGAGAAGGAGAAUCAAUACACAUGGGGAUUGGGAAUUCCAUUCUUGAAGAGGUAGGCUUGGAGGGGAAAGGGACCUGGUAUGAGGUGUGGGAAGUUGGGAAUUGGGAGGUGCCACAGGUCUUGCCAGGUGUGUGGUUUGGUGAAACACAUUAGGGGUAACACCCACACUGGGACUGGGCCUGAAGGAAGAAAGAGGGUUAGUGGGAGGAGGCAGAGGAAUGGAAGUUGGGAUUUCCCCCUCAUCUUUAUUAGGUGAGGUGGAAGGUCGAGGGAUGGAUAGGUUCAGGGGCCCAGUAGGCUGGAACUCCAACUGCCUGCUGACAAGGAUACUUGGGAUGGGGGAAGGGUGGGGGAAGUGGGCCUGCAUUCCAGGCAGGGCCUGCAGGUGGGAAGAAAGAAUGGACAGACUGAGUGGUGGUGCAGUCCUCCAGAGCCUCUCUUCUGCCCUGUAAGGCCUCUGCAUCAGCCUCCAAGUUCUUCCUCUUCGCACUCUGAACCUCCCUCAUCAGGGUGCCUGAGUCUUCCUCUGGACACAAAAGUGGCCGCUUAGCAGGUGGGGGCAGCCCAUCUUGAUGCCAGGGCUUCAACAAUGUCAGGGCCACUGGCAUGGGCUGCUUUCUUUUCUUGGGCCUCCAGGUAGCAGCACUUUGUGGAUGACAGCUCUGUGAUGGAAGACAGGAAGGCUUUUGGCCCUGCACUCCCUUGAUGGAUGCCUAGGAGCCUGGAGAGAUGGGACAAGUUCAUCUAGGCUCUCCUUGGCCCACUUGUCCUGCAUUGAGCAGCCCUCAGCAUUAAGCAGGGUGAGCACUCCUUGAGCAGGGCAGUGGUUCUGCAGGUGGCAGGGCUCCCACAUGACAAGUUCUUGGGAGACAACCUGGGCCCUCUCUGGAAUGCUGUUUCCUUCUAGGGGCUAAGAACUGGGCUCCAGUGCACUAAGGUCUCCCUGAGUCUCCAGAGGACAUGUUGGUGUUGCUUUCCCUUUGCUCGGGGCACCCCUCUGCAGAUCCUCCUGCCUCUUUUGCCAUUGGGGACUGCCCUGCUCCUCCUCCUCCUCCUCCUCCUGGUGAACCUUGCCUUCUUCACGCUGUUCAUGGGCCCUGAGCUCUGCUUCUUUGGAAUCACCAACAGGGAAGUGAGCCGGUAUCAUAGGCCCCUCAGCCUGGUGGACCUGCUGAUAAAGUGGCCUGCACCAAGGAGUGGCCUGCACCGAGGAGUGGCCUGCACUGAGGAGGAGGGAUCCUUACUGUUGUCGAGGGUUCAAACAUCCACGAGUUCCUAAAUGAUAGGUCUGGCUUUAUGUGGAAGGACCUCCAGGACAGCAGCAGCAGGAUCCCCAGAGAGGAGUGCACCACCUGCAGGAGAGGGUCUCUAUCGCAGCCAGCUACAUAAGGCACCCGAGGUCAGGGAUCUUGGUGGACAUGCCUGCAGGCAGGGCUGAUGGAAGAGGCUGGUACAGCAGGGUGAUUCCUGCGAGAAGUGGGAGCAUUGCAGGCCAGAUGGAUGGGAGUUUGAUGGUCUACAAGGGCCCAGCAGCGUGGCCGGCGACUGUGCUUGCUCAAUAGACUGCCCAUUGAGGGAACCUGUUGCUCUUCUGAUCCAACAGUAGUCAGAAGUGCAGAGGAGCUCGGCAGUCACCAGCUCCCCUGGAGACCAAAAGCUAAACUCUAACAUUUAACCCUUGUGGCCGGCACGCAUGACGGAGAAGGGACUUGGGGCCAAGAAGGUUGGUCAAAAGAAGGCCUCCAGGGUAAAGAGACCCUACCCCCACUGUCCCCUCUUAGUCUGAGCUUAGUGCUCCUCCAGACUCGGCGCUGCUGCCUCUCCCACACCCACCACACAAUUUUCUCACCACUUCAAAGGGUCAUUCUGAGGCUGCUUUCCUUUUGGUUAUUUAGGCCGUCGUUCUACAUAACAUCUCUAUGGAUUCUACUUGACAUGACUGUAGCCAUCCAGAGUUGAAACAACCAUCAAUUGCCCCCAAAUAGCUCUAGUCAAUUUUUCCUCCAUAGUUCCCACCAUACUAUCAAUUUAGAAAACCAUUACAAUGGUCCCUGAAACUGUCCCACAGGAUUCUUGAGCCAGUAAUGGUGCCUGACUGUGUGUGAUAUUACUUCAGGUAAAAUAAGUUCAUUUUGUUUGGGAAGAAUUCCCUUUCAUCCUAACCAAAGCAUAUGCAUAUCCUUCUCUCUAAACCAUAUUGAAGGUGUGCAGUAUUCUUCCUGUUGCCUAGCAUCAUAUUUCACUUGGGACACCCAAAGCCAGCACUGAGCAGCCCUUUGCUGCCAAACCAGCUUGAUUUUUUUUCCACAUACACUACAUAUUCUGCUCAAUAUUUAGACACAUUAGCCCAGUCUUCCUGAGGUUCUGUAGCACUCCUGAGUUUCCAGUUUCAUCAGGCUGCAUGGGCUUCAUGUGGAGAGAGGUGGACCCUGAUCUAGCUUCACCUUUGAAUCCCUGAGCAUCACAGCAGACAAAAGAGGGGACUCUGGGCACCAUACACUGCUCUAGGGGAAUCUUUAUCCUGAACUUGUGGAGGUCUCUGAUCCUCAGAAGCCCCCGGGGUGUCCAGGGGAGUCAACUCUGUGAAUAAUCCUGCUAUCAGACAUGAUUGCUCCUACUUUUACCCCAUCCCUGGGGUCAAAACAGGGAGAAACCCCUAGCUUUGGUGCCCAGUUGCUCUGUAGCAAGGGUGCCUCCAGGGCACAUCUGCUAGAUAAAUUGCUCAUUAAGGAGAUUGCAUGGGAUGUGUGAACUGGCCUAUUUCAUCUUUACAUGCACAGGAAUAUUGCAUAUGUUCCCUGUGCCACACCAAAUACCAGGCAAGGAGAAAAAUGCAGCAGUUCCAUUUCCCCCACAUCUUUUGCUUUCCUUGGCUUCAGUUACCUGUGAUCAGCAAGGCUCAAAAAGUGUUACUUGUCUUACUCGUAGAGACAAAGACUACAUUCUCAUGAAUUAGAGUGUAUUAUAACUGUUCCAUUUCACUAUUGUUAACCUCUUCUAGUGCCUGCUCUAAAGUGAGCUUUAUAACUGUGCAUUGUGAAGGAUAAAGCCAUGUAUCCAGGGCUCAGUACUCUUCAUUAUUUCAAGUGUCCACUGGGGGCGUUUGAACAUAUUACAUGCAGAGAAGGAGGUCUACUGCAUGAGCUGUCAGGGGCCCAGAUAUUCUGUAUUUGAAAUGUCAGUAAAGCUGCCAUUCCUCAUUUAGCUUGAAGUGGAUCUGAUGGAAAAAAAAAAGAAGCAAGCUCUCCACAAUAAUAGCAGCCCACAGGCUCAAACAUCAUACAGAUCUGAAGUGAGGCCUAUCUGAAGAUGUUAUUUGGGUUUCAAAUACAUAUUGGAUACAGAAGACAGAAAAACUUUAAUAACCUGAAAAUUGAUGGACAUAAUAAAAUCAUGCAUAUUUUAA